rnacentral:rRNA from 1 species
GAUCCUGCCGGAGGAUACUGCUAUCCGAGUUCGACUUAGACAUGCGAGUCGAGAGUCUUCGGGACUCGACGAACUGCUCAGUAAUAUGUAGUUAAUCUACCCUAUACUCAGGGAUAAUUGCGGGAAACUGCAGCUAAUACCUGAUGGAUAUUCUGUUCUGGAAUGAUAGAAUAUCGAAAGGUAACGGUAUAGGAUGAGACUACAUCUUAUCAGCCUGUUGGGGGUGUAAUGGACCUCCAAAGCUAUAACGGGUACGGGCCAUGAGAGUGGAAGCCCGGAGAUGGAUUCUGAGACAUAAAUCCAGGUCCUACGGGACGCAGCAGUUACGAAAACUUCGCAAUGCUCUAAUGAGCGACGAGGGAACUUGGAGUGUUCAUGCUCUGCAUGAACUUUUGCUUACUGCAAAUAGGUAGGCGAAUAAGGGGUGGGUAAUACGAGUGCCAGCCGCCGCGGUAAUACUCGAGCCCCAAGUGGUAUCCGCGAUUAGUGGGUCUAAAGCGUCCGUAGCCGGUUUGAUGAGUCCCUAGUGAAAUCCUUUGGUAAACUGAAGGGCUUGCUGGGGAUACUAUCAGACUUGGGACUGGGAGAGGGUAGAGGUACUCCCGGGGGAAGGGUAAAAUCUUAUAAUCCUGGGGGGACCACCUGUGGCGAAGGCUUUUACCUAGAACAGGUUCGACGGUGAGGGACGAAAGCUAGGGGAGCGAUUGGGAUUAGAUACCCCAGUAGUCCUGGCUGUAAACAAUGCCCGUUUGGUGUUACAAACCUCUCGUGGGUUUGUAGUGCCGGAGCGUAGGUGUUAAACGGGCCACCUGGGGAGUACGUCCGCAAGGAUGAAACUUAAGCGAAUUGGCGGGGGAGCACACAAGGGGUGGAGGCUGCGGUUCAAUUGGAUUCAACGCCGGG